rnacentral:rRNA from 1 species
CACGUAGGGGGCAAGCGUUGUCCGGAUUUAUUGGGCGUAAAGAGCUCGUAGGCGGUUCGGUAAGUCGGGUGUGAAAACUCUGGGCUCAACCCAGAGACGCCACCCGAUACUGCUGUGACUUGAGUCCGGUAGGGGAGCGUGGAAUUCCUGGUGUAGCGGUGAAAUGCGCAGAUAUCAGGAGGAACACCAGCGGCGAAGGCGGCGCUCUGGGCCGGAACUGACGCUGAGGAGCGAAAGCGUGGGUAGCAAACAGG